GAUGAACGCUGGCGGCGUGCCUAAUACAUGCAAGUCGAGCGAACAGACGAGGAGCUUGCUCCUCUGACGUUAGCGGCGGACGGGUGAGUAACACGUGGAUAACCUACCUAUAAGACUGGGAUAACUUCGGGAAACCGGAGCUAAUACCGGAUAAUAUAUUGAACCGCAUGGUUCAAUAGUGAAAGACGGUUUUGCUGUCACUUAUAGAUGGAUCCGCGCCGCAUUAGCUAGUUGGUAAGGUAACGGCUUACCAAGGCGACGAUGCGUAGCCGACCUGAGAGGGUGAUCGGCCACACUGGAACUGAGACACGGUCCAGACUCCUACGGGAGGCAGCAGUAGGGAAUCUUCCGCAAUGGCGAAAGCUUGACGGAGCAACGCCGCGUGAGUGAUGAAGGUCUUCGGAUCGUAAAACUCUGUUAUUAGGGAAGAACAAAUGUGUAAGUAACUAUGCACGUCUUGACGGUACCUAAUCAGAAAGCCACGGCUAACUACGUG
rnacentral:rRNA from 1 species